rnacentral:rRNA from 1 species
AGAGAAUAGAUACCCGGGUAGUCCACGCCGUAAACGAUGAAUACUAGGUGUAGGGGUUGUCAUGACCUCUGUGCCGCCGCUAAACGCAUUAAGUAUUCCGCCUGGGGAGUACGGUCGCAAGAUUAAAACUCAAAGGAAUUGACGGGGGCCCGCACAAGCAGCGGAGCAUGUGGUUUAAUUCGAAGCAACGCGAAGAACCUUACCUAGACUUGACAUCUCCUGAAUUACUCUGUAAUGGAGGAAGCCACUUCGGUGGCAGGAAGACAGGUGGUGCAUGGUUGUCGUCAGCUCGUGUCGUGAGAUGUUGGGUUAAGUCCCGCAACGAGCGCAACCCUUAUUGUUAGUUGCUACCAUUUAGUUGAGCACUCUAGCGAGACUGCCCGGGUUAACUGGGAGGAAGGUGGGGAUGACGUCAAAUCAUCAUGCCCCUUAUGUCUAGGGCUACACACGUGCUACAAUGGUCGGUACAAUGAGAUGCAACCUCGCGAGAGUGAGCAAAACUAUAAAACCGAUCUCAGUUCGG